rnacentral:rRNA from 1 species
AUACGGAGGGUGCAAGCGUUAUUCGGAAUCACUGGGCGUAAAGGACGCGUAGGCGGGUUGGCAAGUCAGAUGUGAAAUCCUACAGCUUAACUGUAGAACUGCAUUUGAAACUGCUAACCUAGAGUAUGGGAGGGGGAGAUGGAAUUAGUGGUGUAGGGGUAAAAUCCGUAGAUAUCACUAGGAAUACCGAAAGCGAAGGCGAUCUCCUGGAACAUAACUGACGCUAAGGCGUGAAAGCGUGGGUAGCAAACAGGAUUAGAAACCCCUGUAGUCC